rnacentral:lncRNA from 1 species
AACAGUUUGUGGAUAACAUAGUUCAAAGGUAUGUGAAAGGGCUUCAGAUACGCUGCUUCCUGACCCAGCACAGUAAGGAUCAUUUACGUGCCUUCACUUACAAGAUCUUGCCCUGUCACUAAAAAGCUUCUAGAUAGAGCUAGCUAUAUACAACUCUCUCAAAGAACAGCAGCUAAGAGCAUUUGAUAAAUGCUUAGAAAAACUUAGCUUACAUUUUCUUUUCAGCCAGCUGGAGCCUAUUGGCUUUUGAAAUUAACAGGAAGGAACAGGCACUGGAAGGAGCUUCAUAAACAUCAACCCAGUCUUAUCUCCAUAGCAACAUGGUUUUCUCACAUCUGAAUAAAAAAACAAAAAA